rnacentral:rRNA from 1 species
GCCGGUAGCCAUAUCACCCUGUAGCCCAAGACUGGUUGCCGACUGAAGCUAAGCAGGGCUGAGCCUGGUCAGUACCUGGAUGGGAGACCUCCUGGGAAAACUAGGAUGCUGCUGGAA